rnacentral:rRNA from 1 species
ACGGCUCAGUAACACGUGGAUAACCUGCCCUUGGGUCUGGCAUAACCCCGGGAAACUGGGGAUAAUUCCGGAUAACGCAUAUAUGCUGGAAUGCUUUAUGCGUAAAAUGGAUUCGUCCGCCCAAGGAUGGGUCUGCGGCCUAUCAGGUAGUAGUGGGUGUAAUGUACCUACUAGCCUACAACGGGUACGGGUUGUGAGAGCAAGAGCCCGGAGAUGGAUUCUGAGACAUGAAUCCAGGCCCUACGGGGCGCAGCAGGCGCGAAAACUUUACAAUGCGGGAAACCGUGAUAAGGGGACACCGAGUGCUAGCAUCAUAUGCUGGCUGUCCAGGUGUGUAAAAUACACCUGUUAGCAAGGGCCGGGCAAGACCGGUGCCAGCAGCCGCGGUAAUAC